rnacentral:rRNA from 1 species
UACGAAGGGAGCUAGCGUUGUUCGGAAUUACUGGGCGUAAAGGGCGCGUAGGCGGUCCUAAUAAGUUAGAUGUGAAAGACCUGGGCUUAACCUGGGAAGUGCAUUUAAGACUGUGGGACUAGAGGAUGAGAGAGGAAAGUGGAAUGACAAGUGUAGAGGUGAAAUUCGUAGAUAUUUGUUGGAACACCAGUGGCGAAGGCGACUUUCUGGAUCAUUACUGACGCUAAGGCGCGAAAGCGUGGGGAGCAAACAGG